UACGUAGGGCGCAAGCGUUGUCCGGAAUUAUUGGGCGUAAAGAGCUCGUAGGCGGUCUGUCACGUCUGCCGUGAAAACCCGAGGCUUAACCUCGUGGCUUGCGGUGGAUACGGGCAGACUAGAGGUAGGUAGGGGAGAACGGAAUUCCCGGUGUAGCGGUGAAAUGCGCAGAUAUCAGGAAGAACACCCGUGGCGAAGGCGGCUCUCUGGUACGUGACUGACGCUGAGACGCGAAAGCGUGGGGAGCAAACAGG
rnacentral:rRNA from 1 species